GACGAACGCUGGCGGCGUGCUUAACACAUGCAAGUCGAACGAAGUGGCGAACGGGUGAGUAACGAGUAAACAACCUGCCCUUCAGAGGGGGACAACAGUUGGAAACGACUGCUAACACCGCAUACUGAAGGAGGGGCUUGCGUCUGAUUAGCUAGUUGGCGGGGUAACGGCCCACCAAGGCGAGGGUCAGUAGCCGGGCUGAGAGGAUGAUCGGGCACCUUGGGACUGAGACACGGCCCAGACUCCUACGGGAGGCAGCAGUGGGGAAUCGGCGGAAAUGGACGAAAGUCUGACCGAGCAACGCCGCGUGAGUGAAGAAGGUAUUAGGAUCGUAAAGCUCUGUAGUUAGAGAAGCGGUAUCUAACCAAAAAGCCACGGCUAACUACGUGCCAGCAGCCGCGGUAAUUC
rnacentral:rRNA from 1 species